GCUUGCAGCAAUGCAGGAUCCUUCAUCCACUGAGUGAGACCAGGGAUCAAAACCACAUCCUCAUGGACACUAUGCCGUGUUCUUAACCCUCUGAGCCACACUGGGAACUCCCCAUCCUCUCCCUCUCAGCCCUUCCCCAGAGCAAGCUCCUGCAUGGCUUCUCAGGGAGCUGAUCCUGAGUAACGUGCCCUGACUGCUGGGAGCACUGGAUGUUGGGCCACCUCCAAACCCUCCCAUUUGCUUAACAUGGCAGGCAAUUCUGACUUUCUUAGUUAGAAACUACUUCGCUGAUUCAUCUCCAAAGCUUUUAUUUGACAAAUAAACAGCUGACCCUGAUGACUUCCAUCCAGGCUGCCACUCAUGGCCUUGGUACUAUGGGAAUCACUUCCUCAAGUAGAAUUUUACUUAGGCUUCACAAUAAAAACUAAUUAGAAAAGCCUGGAUGGGCUCCGGUUUUGUGCCAAGUGCCUGCCCAUCUCCAGAGACACAACAGUGAAAGAGAAGCAUUCUAAUCCGGAUUCAAACACAUGCUGAUGAUUCAUCCUGCCCAAGUUGAUGCACAGAGGGAUUGUUGAACAAAAAGAGGAAACUUAGAACUUUCAUCCCAACUUCCUAUGGAGGUUCCCAGGCUAAGGUUCAAACUGGAGCUGCAGCUGCCGCCACAGCCACAGCCACAGUCACAGCAAUGCAGGGUCUGAGCUGUGUCUGCGACUUACACCACAACUCAUGGCAACACCAGAUCCUUAAGGCAAGGCCAGGGAUUGAACCCGAAUCCUCAUGGAUCCUACUCGGGUUCAUUACAACAGAGCCACAAUGAGAAUACCCUCAUCCCAACUUUUGUUUUACAGAAGAGGAAAAGGAGGUCCCUAUACGUCUCAAGAGCUGAUUCACAUUAGAGGGAGGUCCAGAACCCACAGUACUGAUGCCUGCGCCAUGCUCUUUCCUUCAAUACAUCCAUCUCAUUCAGAAUGAAACUUAACGUAGGGACCCAGCCUAUCUUAUAGAUCACAAAUAGCUCCUUUGUAUCCCUUCAGGUAAGUUAGUUUGUCCCUGUGCUAUACUUUGAAACUCUGUUUUAAUUUGAAAACUGGUGCCACGAAUACUAAAGUCCAUGUAAGGUACAUUCCCUUUAAAGCCCCCAACAGUAAUUGAAGAGUGGUCCCUGAGACCCAGAGUUUAGCUUGCAGUGACUGCCACAGUAUGCGUGGGAACAGUGAACACUCAUACCUCCAACAUUCAAGACAAACCCAGAGAAGAGGAGUGAUAAGCCAAUGUCCACUGAGACCCUGGGGUUAGUGUUUGUACCUUUACCAGGCUAAAGGACUUUUUAGGCUUCCCGUUGAUAUAGUUAAAAUAGUAGCUGCAGUUUAUAUAUAUUUUCAAUGACCUUAUAAAUCAAUAGUAUUCAGUAAUCUUAGCUGAAACUAUAAAUGGUUGCUGGACCCAUUAAAGAUGAAGUUAAGUUAGAUCUUCUAUUUUUUUAAAUGUGGUCCUCCAGGAAGCUGCCUCUGGACAUAAGUACAGAAAAUUAACACAAUAAGUAAAGCAUUAUAGAACAGCUAUUAACUGAUUACACUAAUAAAAACCAAAUGGGGGCCUUAAUUCUGCCCCUCUGGGAGAGCAGGACAGAUAAAAUAAACAACAGGAAAAGAAUAUGGAGUAAAGGAAAUUGAUUUUAAACAAUAAUAAUACAGAAACCUCCCACCAUGUUAAAAAAAAAAUCAGAUCUCUAGCUUCAUUUGGGGAAACAUAGAAGGGAAUUUUCACACUGCCUUAGUAAGACCUAUGUUUGUUACUAAUAAGGGUGUUUUCCAGGCUAACAAAUAGGAAAAAUGAAGGCCUGCUGACACAGACGUCCUUAAAUGACAGUCAUAUGGACACAAGGACUAUCUGCUGUAUUAUCAAAAUGAGGAGCCCUUCCAGUCUCCCUCGGAGGAAGUGGAAAUCUAAACAUUUGGGGCUCAUGCUCCAUCAGGGCGGGACGAACAGUCAGUUCCAGUGAUGGUUGGUAUUCCCUGCCAAAGCCAUGUCAGAGGAGAAAAAAAGAGAACUAAGAAUUUCCACCAUCUUGGGAGGUUGGAGGGGUGCGACUUAAGAACUACAUCCCGGUACAGCACUGCCUGUUGGUUAAAUCCUAAAAUCCUUGAGCAUGCUUGUGGUUCACUCUUUACAGAAAUUUAUAGUAGAGAAAGAGCUUUUCUUUCCAGUUUGUUGUGUAUAACAUGGCCCACAUCCCUGCCUUAAAACCUAGCCAGGAGCUAAGUAAGGGCCCGCCAGGAGCUAAGUAAGGGCCCGCCAGGUGCCCAGUGUCCUCCAAGAUGCCUUACACAUGUUGUCACUCGUUCUUCUAUGAUGCCUGCAAAGCAGGUAGUGAUCCUCAAUUAGUGUUGAAGACAUGGAGGUUCAGGGUGAUCCAGAGACUAGUUCCAGUUCCCACCUUGCAGGCACUCGCACUUCUCCCUCCCCAUAGGCAACCCCGGCUCAAUUGCUGACUGUUAUUCUUUUCCUCACUCUAUUUUCAUAUAUUGUUCGAACCCAUGGAGCCUCUCCUUUUUGCAUGGCAUAUGCAAAAUCCCAGGUUAUUUUUACUUCUCACUGGCAAAAAGUCAGCAAAUUCAAAUGAAAUGAUAAUUUCUAUGUGAGAAAAUAGUUUAGCAUUUUCUUAAAAUGCAAACUUAAAUAUGUAUAUAUAUUACACAAGACUCUAACUUUUAAGUUGGCAGAAAACAGCCUGGUAGUUUCAUGGGACAGCUGAAUACAACGAUAGUGGUUCGGAUGUAAAGUGUUGGUCUGAGACCUGAGGGGGAGCUCUCCCACAGUGAAAUGUGGGUGUUUAGACUAGAAAAGAAGCAUCAGGAGGUAAGAUAUGGGAUUGUAUGUAUAGAAUACUCCUGUGUACAAAAAGGAAAGACUUGCUCAGUGCCAGGCAGAGAGGGCUAGGAGAUAUACAAAGGGACCAGUGAACAGAAGGUUUCAGGGAAGGAGAUUGAAAUUUGAAGCCAUAAACACAUUCUCAAAGCCAGAGCACUUCAAAAAUACAUUGCAUUCAGGCCAUGAUGCUUAGGAGUGAAAUCCCAGAGGUGUUCAGAAUAAAGAAUAUUUUCAAUAAUUCGGAAGUUUGCACUUUUGUAAUAAUAUGGGGCAAAUGAAGAAAUUACAUAAUUCAAAGGAAGGGGACAAAAUGAUCAUUACUGCAGAUGAUAACAUUUACUUAGAUGGCGUAAAAGAAUCAAUUGGCAAACUAUUUGAAUAGGAAAGCAGUAAAGUAGGAAAAUACCAAAUAAAACGCAUAAGUAGAUAACUUUUCUCAGCAAUUUUAAGAUUUAACAGAGAAAUUGUAUUCACAGUAGCAGUGAAUAAAUUUGAGAGUACGCACACUGAGAAACUACAUGAAGAAACUAGGACUGUAGCAGAAGUUCAUGUGAAAAGAUGAAAGAGAAGGCAGGCUUUACUUCUAAAUGAGAAAACUCAAUAUUAAAGCCCAGAUCCUCACACACUAACCUAUCAAUUGUCUUCUCUUACAUUUUGUUUUUUUUAUUUUAUUUUAUUUUUUGCUUUCAUAGGGCUGCACCCACCAGAUAUGGAAGUUCCCAGGCCAGGGUCGAAUCAGAGCUACAGCUGCCAGCCUACACCACAGCCACAGCAACACAGGAUCCGAGCUGUGUCUGUGACCUACAGCACAGCUCACGGCAACACCAGAUCCUUAACCCACUGAGGGAGACCAGGGAUGGAACCCACAGCCUCAUGGUUUCUAGUCAGAUUCAUUUCCACUGUGCCACGACGGAACUCCUUCCCUUACAUUUUGAACUUGAGUUCUUAUGCGCAUAUCCUUAAAUUGUGAUAAUAAAAAAGGAGGAUUGUGGCAAAAAGAGUGAUGGGGACAGAAAGACAACAAAUAAAAAAUUUAAAAUACAGCAGUAGUUCCCAUAACAUACAAUAUUUAGAUUAGUGAGGAAAAGAGGCUCUAGUAAAUAGAUUCUUACCACACAGACCAAAUAUAUGAGAAAUUUAAAUGUUUUUUUAAAAUAAAACUGAGCCACAAAAGCACAAGUAGAAAAUACAGAUUAAUAUUUACCUGCCCCUGGGAUGUGCAAGGCCUUUCUAAACAUAAAAGCAGAGGAAGAAAGGAUAAAUGAAAAUAUGCAUUUACUUAAAUUCAUAAACAUAUACAUUAAAAAUCCUUUAACAGUUAAAAAUCAAAUGAUAAAAUAGAGAGAUGUUUGCAAUCCACAAUAGUGAAAUAAACUUACUAUGCAAAGUUAAUAAACUUACUAUGCAAAGAACUUUUUCAAUUUAAUAUGUAAAGAAUGAACACAAUUAAAAGAGGGAGUUCCCAUUGUGACUCAGUGGAAACAAACUCGACUAGUAUCCGUGAGAACUCGGGUUCGAUUCCUGGCCUCACUCAGUGGGUUAAGGAUCUGGUGUUGCAUGAGCUGUGGCAUAGGUUGCAGACGUGGCUUGGAUCCCGAAUUGCUGUGCUGCGGUGCAGGCCGGCAGCUGUACCUCUGAUUUGACCCCUAGCCUGGGAACUUCCAUAAGCCAUGGGUGCAGCCCUAAAAAAAAAAGGCAAAAAAAAAAAAAAAAAAAAAAA
rnacentral:lncRNA from 1 species